CAGAGAUGCUUUUUGCUAUCGCUUAGUAGAAGAUAUUCGCCGCGAAACGGUACUAUCCGUGGACUUAAAUCACAUCCCGUCAUCACCGCCAGUCGAUCUGAAUGCAGGCCAGCGCACGUCAGCACGUAUUUCGUUGUUUCAGGCCUUCCACACAAAGCUUUGCCUACAAACAGUCGCUGUUGGAUCACGAAUUUUAAUUGUGGAAUGCAAAUAAAAUCAAUCCUGGAAAUAUUCGUGAGUCUAAGCGAUUUCUGAUUUAUUUUCUGUAAGUUAAAAUUGUUAUUUUUGGAAAUUGAAUGCGAAGCAUUCUGCUUCUUGUGUAAAAGAACAAUCUAUUUGUAUGACGAGAUGAUGAUUAUUAAACAUCUUUAAUCUUGCUGUUCAUCUCAUCACAAGUUCAAUGAACUAUUAAAAGCGG